rnacentral:rRNA from 1 species
UACGAGAGGCCCAAACGUUAUUCGGAAUUACUGGGCUUAAAGAGUUCGUAGGCGGUAUGAUAAGUAGGGUGUGAAAGCCCUCGGCUUAACCGAGGAAUUGCGCUCUAAACUGUCGUACUCGAGGAACCUAGAGGUGAGCAGAACAGAUGGUGGAGCGGUGAAAUGCGUAGAUAUCUGGAGGAACACCGGUGGCGAAGGCGGCAUCCUGGACCGAUAUUGACGCUGAUGCGCGAAAGCCAGGGGAGCAAACGGG